rnacentral:rRNA from 1 species
UGGGGAAUAUUGGUCAAUGGAGGCAACUCUGAACCAGCCAUGCCGCGUGCAGGAUGACGGCCCUAUGGGUUGUAAACUGCUUUUGUACCAGAGAAAACCCCAGUACGUGUACUGGGUUGAUAGUAUGGUAAGAAUAAGCAUCGGCUAACUUCGUGCCAGCAGCCGCGGCAAGACGAAGGAUGCAAGCGUUAUCCGGAUUCAUUGGGUUUAAAGGGUGCGUAGGCGGACUUGUAAGUCAGUGGUGAAACCUCUCAGCUUAACUGAGAAACUGCCAUUGAUACUGCAGGUCUAGAGUAUAGAUGACGUUGGCGGAAUAUGACAUGUAGUGGUGAAAUACUUAGAUAUGUCAUAGAACACCGAUUGCGAAGGCAGCUAACGAAACUAUAACUGACGCUGAGGCACGAAAGUGCGGGGAUCAAACAGG